CUCCAGUACUCUUGCCUGGAGAAUCCCACGGACGGAGGAGCCUGAAAAUAAUACACAAGCCAUCAAAGUAUCAUGAAAAGAACCAGCUGUAUUGGUAACUUGUGAGCUGCUGCUGCUGCUGCUAAGUCACAUCAGUCAUCUCCGACUAAGAGCGGGAGAAGGCGGAGGGAGAAGCAGUGAGAAAAAGUUGACCUCGUUCUUAAAGUCAAACCAUCUGAGUCAAUAGCCUGCUUAAACCUGGUUCUGUUCCAGUGCAAUGGAAUAUUUAUUAUUUUUGAGGAAUCACUUGGUGGCACUGUAAAUGAUGUAGGAAACAUUAAAAAAAGAACAGUCCAUUGCAAUAAUGAGUGUGAAAAUAAUCAUGAUCUUAUCAAAAGGAACUUGUGGGUAUAGAAGAGAUUGAGCAGGUUUUAAAUGCUUUGAAGAAGCAAAAUUAAUAGCACUUGACAACAGGAGGUGAGGCUCUGCUGCUGCUAAGUCGCUUUAGUUGUGUCUGACUCUGUGCGACCCCAUAGAUGGCAGCCCACCAGUCUCCUCUGUCCCUGGGAUUCUCCAAGCAAGAAUACUGGAGUGGGUUGCCAUUUCUGAGGUGAGGCUCAGAGAAAAGCAAAUGUGGUUGAAAAUCCUCCCUUUCUAAAUUUGGUAAAGGGUUCAGUUCAGUAGCUCAGUCGUGUCCGACUCUUUGUGACCCCAUGAACUGCAGCACACCAGGCCUCCCUGUCCAUCACCAACUCCGGGAAUUCAUUCAAA